UAAUGUUGCUAUUCAUUGUGUAAAAAGCCCGAAUUAACCUGAAUAGAUAAAGAUAGCCAGCAAUUCAUUCGGUGUUUUAAAUAGAUUUUAGGAAACUGUCCAGAAAUUUAUCUUCCAAGUUUAACCCAGUAAUAAAUAUAUUUGUUCUGCCUCCGUUAGAGGCUGUGUGCAUUUCUAAUGUGUAUUUAAAUUUAUUAAUAUUAUAUUUUUCAUGAACCUUUAAUGUUCUAUAUAAGUUUCAUUUUUGCCUGCCACUACUGUGUAAGUCUUAAUCUGAGGACUCUUAUUUUGUGAACCGUGAGCCAGGUAAUAGGAAAUCGGAAGCAAUGAACACAUGGCGCAGCAAGUGCAUGGCAUGUCACGUAUUAAUUGAUCCUUCUUCUGAAUCCUAUCAAAAGCAUUGUCUUUUUACUCGGUUCAAUGGCCGCUAAGUUUGUUUGUGUAAACCGCACAUGGGACUAAUAAAGGAGCAAGGUGCUUGUUUCCUGGCUCUUGAACAGA